GGCGCUGUGGCUUAGUUGGUUAAAGCGCCUGUCUAGUAAACAGGAGAUCGUGGGUUCGACUCCCACCGGUGCUU
rnacentral:tRNA from 1 species